GACGAACGCUGGCGGCGUGCUUAACACAUGCAAGUCGAGCGGUAAGGCCCUUUCGGGGGUACGACGAGCGGCGAACGGGUGAGUAACACGUGGGUGACCUGCCCUCAGCUCUGGGAUAAGCCUGGGAAACCGGGUCUAAUACCGGAUAUGACUCCAUGACGCAUGUUGUGGGGUGGAAAGCCUUGUGCGGCUGAGGAUGGGCCCGCGGCCUAUCAGCUUGUUGGUGGGGUGAUGGCCUACCAAGGCGACGACGGGUAGCCGGCCUGAGAGGGCGACCGGCCACACUGGGACUGAGACACGGCCCAGACUCCUACGGGAGGCAGCAGUGGGGAAUCUUGCGCAAUGGGGCGAAAGCCUGACGCAGCGACGCCGCGUGAGGGAUGACGGCCUGGUGUAAC
rnacentral:rRNA from 1 species